GUGUGUCCCAGAUGCCUGUGGCUGAGGGCAAGAGUGUCCAGCAGACAGUGGAGCUCCUCACCAAGAAAUUGGAGAUGCUUGGAGCAGAGAAACAAGGAACAUUUUGUGUGGACUGUGAAACUUACCACACAGCUGCCUCCACCCUGGGCAGCCAAGAUUAAGAAAGUGGCGACUGCGCUAAAACAUGGAUAGAUGCAAACAUGUAGGGCGGUUACGGCUCGCCCAGGAUCACUCCAUCCUGAACCCCCAGAAGUGGUGCUGUCUGGAGUGCGCCACCACCGAGUCUGCGUGGGCUUGCCUCAAGUGCUCCCACGUGGCUUGCGGCCG
rnacentral:lncRNA from 1 species